CAAUUUUUCCCUCUUUGUUUUAUCCAUUCCCUCUUUUUUUCCCAAACCCCUCCCUCGGUUUCACCAAAAGAGAAGCUUUAGAGCUUCCAUUUUCUUUAACUUGAAAAAUUAAAACCCUCACUUGAAAAAUUCACAAUACGUUCUCCACAAUAUGAAAGAUUUAAAAGCUUUUUUGACGGUUCAAUUACUUGGGUUCACGCUUGGACCGUCACUGAUGCAAUUUUUUGCUUUCUUCCCCAUUCUAUGAAAUAGAUUCACAACGGUGAGUUUGAUUGUGGGUUCAGAUCUAUGAAAUUUUUGUUGAAUCGGUGGUGUAUUUUGAAGAAGGAUAUAACACUCUCUUUUGAAUUCGAGAUAACUCUCGAGGACCUUCAGAGAAGACGCAAUUGUCACUAGCUGCUAUUCCUCUUUCUGCUCUACAUGGUGUUUGAAUCAAUCUCAAGGUAUGCCGAAGCCCAAGCGUUACGAGAACUUUCCGAACUCAAUUCAGUCAGUACCUCAAUUCAACGCCAAGUGAUGCGGCUAGCGGAUCCAUUUUACCCAUGGAUAUAAGAUCAUCAGAUGAAAGUAAUCCUAACGACAACCAUUGAAGUUGCUUGCAAAUGUAUUAGAUAAUUAAGCAUUGCACUCGAUUGAAUGGUCAUAGUAGAUCUUUUGUCCAUAAUGGUUGGAGUGGAUGUUCUGUAUAAAGUUAGUUUUAAGACUAAUUAUAAUAUUGAUGUUUUGUGUUUAAUGGUUGGAGUAAUUGUGUUUAAGUAAAUUUUUGAGACUAAUGAUAAUUUACUUUAGUGUA